GGAAUGUAGCUCAGUGGCAUAGUGCCUGCCUGGUAAGCACGAGGUCCUGGAUUUGAUUCCCAGUACCA
rnacentral:tRNA from 1 species